AUGUACCCACGUACAUUCCGGUUCCUCCGCGCCGUCCGCACCCAC
rnacentral:sRNA from 1 species